GUGAUGCUGGACAUGGCAGCCUGCGAUCCUCAGCAGUUGCCCAGGAGAAGGCCCAGAGAAUGAUUCAGCAGAAAGGGCAGCUGAAGAGUGAGGAUGCUGGGUCACUCCCCUGGCAGAGCUGGACCUGAAGCUUGCCUGCCCUUGAGCCCCCAUCCCCCUGCUGCCUGCUCCCCUGCAGUCCUUCUCUCCCUGGUGGGCACCUUCUUCCACCCACUUGUCCAGGCUGAACUCAGUGCCUCCCUCCUGCACCAUCAUCUGGUCUUCCCACCUGUCUCAGUCCUGCCCAUCUUCCUCCAUCCCUGCUUCCCAGACACAGAGCUCAGCCCACAGGGAAUGUGUGGUUUGGCUAGACACGGAGGACACAUGCGUGCAGACCAGAAAACCACCACCAGGGAUCCAGGAAUCCUGCUCCUGGGCUCAGCCUGCUGUUUCUUCACCACGUGACCCUGCGCAAACUCCCCAAAACCACUCUGACCCUCACCAGUGCAUCCACAAAAUGGGAGUUAUCAAGUCAUCUUUACGUAACUCGUAACUAGUAACUCGGGGAGGGGGUGGCGUUGCCAUGAGAACCUGGGAGAUAAGGGUUGUAAAAACAUUUUGAGAACUGAGCCACUACACAGUCUGAGGUAGCCUCGCUGUUAUUCUCGCCUGACAUUAGUGCCAACUACCUGUGUGAUCCUGAGCAAGUCAUUCACCUCACUCAACCUCAAGCUGGGGGUGUGGUGAUGGUGGUGUUUCUCCAGCCUCCUUCAAGGGGUCACGGUGACGAUCUGAUGCAGUCAGCUUUGCAAAGGUGUCUGGGUGGUGCAGAGCGCUCCCCAAUUUUAAGGCAUUGCUCUAAAGUCUCCCCUAAUGGAGACCAAACGUUCUGUUUUGAACGUGCCCAGCAGGUGCACAAAGAGCCUGGUACACCACCAGCUGGUCUGACGCUCGAGAAAGGAGGGAGAGAGAACAGAACUGCCAGCCAGAGCUGACUUGUGUGUCAAGCCCCAAGCAAGCGUGCACCCAUGGUCCUGCUAGAACCUGAGGACAGCCCUGAGGGAGGCGGUGGGUGAUGGAACCCCUUCCCCCCCACUUCUCAGAGGAGAAACUGAGUCUCAAGGAAGUGAAGGGACUUAUCCAGGGUUUUUGAGCACACAUGGCAGAAAAGGGAUUGAACCCAGCUGCAUUCUCCACCCCGGGGGCUCUUCCCCUUAGAGAGAAUGAGUUGGGGCGUGGGAGAGAAGCCCCGUCGGGGUGGCCUCUGGUGGGACGGCCAUAGCAGGAGGGAGAGAGGGCGGGCAGGGCUUGAGACCUGGGCUCCCUGCACAGUGCUGAGAGCCAUGUCCCCGGUCCCAACUCUCCAGACUCUCCUGUUCCUGCUCAUCCACCACACUGGCCGCUCACCGGCCGCUGGUGGCGGUUGGCACUGGGGGGCCGGGAGCACUCCCUGGUGGUCUGACACACAGGAUGUGUCUCACCUCAAAGCAGAAGUGAAACGGGCCAGUUCCCCCUGCAAGACAAGAGGCAAGUCUGACCACCCCCAGCCACCGUCCCUCUUCAGGAAAUAGCAGAGUGGCUGCCACCUCUGGCAGCCAGACUAGGGGAUGAUAAAAGAAGCCGACCUGCUCUGGGGCCCAACCCGUGCAGGGAGCUGGGUGUCUGCCUCCCACGGCACACAUCUUGGCAUCGCUUUGCGCACAUCUCCUUGGGCAGCAUCCUAGUGAAUGGAAGAUGCUGUUUCUACCAGGGUUUGUGAUUUAGGGUCUAAGGGAGAUGGCACUUUGUGCAAGUCCUGUCUCCCAGCAGAAUCAGAGCUGGCCCAUUCCUGCCAGAGGGAGGUCCAUUCGUGGUUUAUUCGCUCAUUCGUCGUUCACGUGUUCGGUCAUCGUGCUCUCAUAACAAAUAUGUGUUGUUAACGACCGUCUGUGUGCAGGCAUUUUGUGCAUACAGGGGGGAGAAGGAUGUCAAAAAAUUACACAAAUAACGAGUGCUGUCGUGAAACAAUUAGUUGUGAAAAGUGCUCCAAAGGCAAAGGAGAGGCUGCUGGGAGAGGUCUGAGGAGGACCUUGACCUGUUCUGGGGCUCAGGGAAGGCUUCCGGACAUUUCUGUGAAGACCUGAUGGGUGGCCCACGGGGGAGGAGGGGACAAGUGCCGCUGGAGCAGGAAGCAGAGACCAGAUCACGCAGGACCCUGUGGGCUACAGAAGGGCCUCCUGCCUGUUUAUAUGUCUGUCAAGAGAAAGAAUGUGUGGAAGGCUAGGUGACCUUGGGCAGGCCUUCCUCUUCUUUUGGCCUCAGUUUCCUCAUCUUUUCAAGGGAGCAUGUUCGCCCUCCUUGCAGGGUUGUUGAAGAGCCCCUACUUAGGUAAAGUACCUAGCAUAGCACCUGCCACAUUGGGGCUGCUCCAGUAAGUGGAGCCAUUAGUGUGACUGUGACAAAGGCAGGCCAGGGACCCAGGCUGCCUGCCCAGCUCCCCUUCCAGUGGCUGCCGUGGCAGUGGCUGCCUUCUUCCCAGGGCUGCUUCUAGGAGACACAGAGCCAGGAGCCAUCUUCGGGGUUGAGCACAUCGGCCUGAGUUCACUUGGCUCGCUGCUGAAGUGUUGCUCUGCGGUCAUAUCGGGCCCUCUGCCAGCCAAGGGGAAAAAAUCUUCCUAAAGCAGAAAGGAGCCGUCAUUGAUCACAAGCACGCCUGGAGCCAUGAGGAUGCUUCGCUUGCUACCUGGCUUAGUUCUAGCAACAACCCCUCACGCUGGCUAUUUUUGGCUGCCUUUUACAGAUAAGUAACUGAGGAUUGGGGUCACCCACCUGGCAAGUGACAGAGUCCAGGUCACCAUGACCUUGCCCAGCCCUCCAUCCCUGGUGAUGGGCCUUUGGCCUAUGUUUUGUUGUAUUUUGGAUUUCACCCGGUGUGAGACCAUUGCAGGAGCGAGUUGGGCGAGCCUGAGCUUUUUUCUUUUUUUAAUUUUAUCUAUUUUUUAAUUUUUUCAGCAGUUAAGUAUCAAGCAAGAGCCUGAGCUUUGAUUUCUUCUUCUGGCAAGUGGCUGCCGGAAUUGCUGCUGCUCCUUCUCAGGAGUGUCACAGAAUGAUCAGGCUGGAGCCACCUCAGCAAUGAGUGUGGCCAUCCCCUUGUCUGCAGAGGGGUAACAAGAUGCAGAAAUCGGUGCUCAGGAAGGGGAAGUAGCAUGCACAAGGUCACACCGUCGUGCCUGACUUGAAAGCAGCUUGGCUGGAGCCGCAGUGAUGCUGUCUCUGCUCCUGCAGAAUGCAGAGCGCUAUAGCUUGAAGUCGCAUCCUGGAGCCGAUUCUUUUUGCUGUCAGGAGGGCGUGGCUGGGCCGGAGAUAAUCUGCAGCUGGCAGGAGGAGAGAAGCCCUGGUGACUUCCUUGGUCUGAACCUGAGCCCCUGCUGAAAACAAACGUGUUGGCAGUUUCUCUUCCUUCCUGUUCAACUUGGGCUCCCUGAAGGUCUUGUCCCUGAAACAGAGCCCAGCCACGUAGCCAGCACUCCUGCCCUCCCAAGGGCACUGGUUUUGGAAGAUGUGCCCAGAUGGGAGCUCACACCUGCCACUCUGCUCCCCUAAGUGCCACACCAGCAAGCUCACGAUCUCUCCAGCAACAAUUUGCAGCUCCUUCCCUGUGCCAGACACCACACAGGCUCUAGGCAGGUGGCACCAUUCUGGCCCCCGCCCUCAUGGAACCUGCAGCCCAGUGCAGGAGAUGGCUAGGGAGCAGCAAAGUAUUUGUGACCAUCUUUAACCUGCCACAUCACCCACGUGAAGAGCUUGGGGAAGAGUGUUCCAGGCAGAGGAACAGCAAGUGCAAAGGCCCUGAGGUAGGAUGGAGCCCAGAGACCUGAGCCUUGAACAAUGGGUUCCUCCACUUCCUUGGUUUCCUCUCCUGUAAAGUGGGAACUAAGGAUGCUUCCCUUCCUUUAUAGGCAUAUAGGAUGUGAGAUGCUUUGCCUCAGGGCAGCGUUAGGAUUUUGGUUAUUGGCCACUGGGUGGGAGGAGAGUCAAACACAGGAGCUUGGUUUGGCUUUCCUGAAGCUCACAAGCAUCUGUGGAGCGCUGCCUGGCAGGAAGGCACGUGCUCAGCACCACAGGUCACAGGAGGAGAGUCCCAGGGUUGCUGAUCUUGCUGAGCUUAUGGCAUGACAAGAUUGCUCACUGCCCCGGCUGUGACUGAGACACGCCAGGUGCAUCUCAGAAGAGAAGAGCUGGAAGGAUUUGGCUGCUCAGGGAAGGCCUGGAGGAGAUGGGAUUCCAAAAAGGCCUUGGAGGGCACAUAGGAUUUGGCUGAAGGAGGGGGAACUGUUGAUAGGAGAGGUGUAAGAGGCUGUGGAAUUCAGCAAUUCAAUGCAACAAAUGCUUGCUGAACUCCUGUGCUAUGCCGUGGGAACGGAACAGGCAGAGAGAGGCACUGUGGGGGCCCAGGGCAGGCACCAGCCAGGCCUGGAAAGCCAGGAAGGCUUCCUGGAGGAAGUGAUACUGCUUCAGAGGCCUGAUGGAUGAGUCAGGUCAACCACAGUAGGGCACUAGGAGGAGCAGAGGAUACAAAGAGGGUCCCAGUGGGAGGAACAACAACUGUAAAGGUCAGAGAGGAGGGAGGGCUUGGGACUCUCAAGUAAAGGCAGAGUUGUGUCUGAAGCAGAGAGUCCAUGUGGAAGAGAGGGGAGGGAUGAGUUCUGGGAUAAAAUGGGCCUCGUGGGCUAACUAAAGUCUUCAUCCUUUUUCCUGAGGGCAAUGUAUGUAGGAUUUCCAGAUUUCACAAAUAAAAAUACAGGUUGUCCU